UACGAAGGGGGCUAGCGUUGCUCGGAAUCACUGGGCGUAAAGCGCACGUAGGCGGAUUGCUAAGUCAGGGGUGAAAUCCUGGAGCUCAACUCCAGAACUGCCUUUGAUACUGGAGAGCUUGAGUCCGGAAGAGGUGAGUGGAACUCCGAGUGUAGAGGUGAAAUUCGUAGAUAUUCGGAAGGAACACCAGUGGCGAAGGCGGCUCACUGGUCCGGUAC
rnacentral:rRNA from 1 species